AUUGAACGCUGGCGGCAGGCCUAACACAUGCAAGUCGAAUGGUAACAGGAAACAGCUUGCUGUUUCGCUGACGAGUGGCGGACGGGUGAGUAAUGUCUGGGAAACUGCCUGAUGGAGGGGGAUAACUACUGGAAACGGUAGCUAAUACCGCAUAACGUCGCAAGACCAAAGAGGGGGACCUUCGGGCCUCUUGUCAUCAGAUGUGCCCAGAUGGGAUUAGCUAGUAGGUGGGGUAACGGCUCACCUAGGCGACGAUCCCUAGCUGGUCUGAGAGGAUGACCAGCCACCCUGGAACUGAGACACGGUCCAGACUCCUACGGGAGGCAGCAGUGGGGAAUAUUGCACAAUGGGCGCAAGCCUGAUGCAGCAAUGCCGCGUGUAUGAAGAAGGCCUUCGGGUUGUAAAGUACUUUCAGCGGGGAGGAAGGGAGUAAAGUUAAUACCUUUGCUCAUUGACGUUACCCGCAGAAGAAGCACCGGCUAACUCCGUG
rnacentral:rRNA from 1 species